AUAGCAGUAGCUUCGUGGUAGAGCUCCCGCUUCGUACGCGGGAAGACCUAGGUUCGCUUCCCUGCUGCUUUC
rnacentral:tRNA from 1 species